rnacentral:rRNA from 1 species
GCAGCACGGACUUCGGUCUGGUGGCGAGUGGCGAACGGGUGAGUAAUGUAUCGGAACGUGCCUAGUAGCGGGGAUAACUACGCGAAAGCGUAGCUAAUACCGCAUACGCCCUUCGGGGAAAGCGGGGGACCUUCGGGCCUCGCACUAUUAAACGGCCGAUAUCGGAUUAGCUAGUUGGUGGGGUAACGGCUCACCAAAGGCGACGAUCCGUAGCUGGUUUGGGAGGACGACCAGCCACACUGGGACUGAGACACGGCCCAGAACUCACCACCGGGAGGCAGCAGUGGGGAAUUUUGGACAAUGGGGGAAACCUGAUCCAGCCAUCCCGCGUGUGCGAUGAAGGCCUUCGGGUUGUAAAGCACUUUUGGCGGGAAAGAAACGGCACGGGAUAAUCCCGUGCAACUGACGGUACCUGCAGAAUAAGCACCGGCUAACUACGUGCCAGCAGCCGCGGUAAUACGUAGGGUGCAAGCGUUAAUCGGAAUUACUGGGCGUAAAGCGUGCGCAGGCGGUUCGGAAAGAAAGAUGUGAAAUCCCAGAGCUUAACUGGAACUGCAUUUUUAACUACCGAGCUAGAGUGUGUCAGAGGGAGGUGGAAUUCCGCGUGUAGCAGUGAAAUGCGUAGAUAUGCGGAGGAACACCACCGUGGCAAAGAAGGCAGCCUCCUGGGAUAACACUGACGCUCAUGCACGAAAGCGUGGGGAGCAAACAGAGUUAGAUACCCUGUUGGUCGCCUAAACGAUGUCAACUAGCUGUUGGGGCCUUCGGGCCUUGGUAGCGCAGCUAACGCGUGAAGUUGACCGCCUGGGGAAGUACGGUCGCAAGAUUAAAACUCAAAGGAAUUGACGGGGACCCGCACAAGCGGUGGAUGAUGUGGAUUAAUUCGAUGCAACACCGAAAAACCCUACCCUUAUUAUGUCUGGAAUCCGAAGAGAUUUAGGAGUGCUCGCAAGAGAACCGGAACACAGGUGCUGCAUGGCUGUCGUCAGCUCGUGUCGUGAGAUGUUGGGUUAAGUCCCGCAACGAGCGCAACCCUUGUCGUGGAUUUGCUACGAAGGGCACUCUAAUGAGACUGCCGGUGACAAACCGGAGGAAGGUGGGGAUGACGUCAAGUCCUCAUGGCCCUUAUGGGUAGAGGGCUGCAUCAUCUAAUGGUCGGGACAGAGGGUCGCAGCCCGCGAGGGGGAGCCAAUCGAAACCCGAUCGCAGUCGGAUCGCAGUCUGCAACUCGACUGCGUGAAGUCGGAAUCGCUGGUAAUCGCGGAUCAGCAUGUCGCGGUGAAUACGUUCCCGGGUCUUGUACACCGCCCGUCACACCAUGGGAGUGGGUUUUACCAAGUGUUGGCGCCCUAACGUAAGGAGGGCGGUGCAAAGCAGAUUCAUGACUGGGGGUGAAGUCGUAACAAAGGUAG